CCAAAAAUGUUGGUCUAAACCUUCCUAUACUA
rnacentral:tRNA from 1 species